rnacentral:tRNA from 1 species
GGAGGGGUGGAUGAGUGGUUGAAGUCGCACGCCUGGAAAGCGUGUAAGGGUUAACAGCCCUUCGGGGGUUCGAAUCCCCCUCCCUCCGCCA